GGAGACCGUGAUCCAAUAAAAACUAUCCACGUCAGAAUAAUGUAUCAAAACCAUCAGAAUCUCUCCUCUUUAUAUGCUUUACUUCCAAGCUAACAAUUCUCAUAUUGGUAACGUUCAACUUUAUUUACUGUGUUUGUUUCCCUUAACGCAACUCCAAGAUUCAAAAACACGCCAAGUUCUUGAAAGACAGCUAGCAAAGAUGUGCUGUGGGAAGAGGGUGUGCGUGUUGUGCACAUGUGUGGUAUUGGUGGCGAUCCUGAUAGGGUUGUUGUUUGGUUUUGGAAUUUACAAGAAUGGGUUUCACAAGUUGAAGGAUGCUUUUCAUGAAUGUGAUUCUAGUGUCAAUGGUUCACUUUGUGGAGCUGGAAUUGGAAGGCCUUUCAUGGCUAUUGUUGAAAGGACCAAUGUCUCAUUGUUCUCAGAUUUGUUAAAUUGAAACAGAUGCCUUGCAGCGUAUCUGAUCUUGCAAUGGGGUUGAAGAUCAUGACUUUCCACACAGCUGUGUUAAUUUGUGUUCAUUUCGACACACAUUUAUCCUCCAAAACUAGUUCAAAAUGGACAUCUCAAGAUGAACGAAAUUGCCCCUUUUGCA